AGUGAACGCUGGCGGUAGGCCUAACACAUGCAAGUCGAACGGCAGCACAGUAAGAGCUUGCUCUUACGGGUGGCAAGGGGCGGACGGGUGAGGAAUACAUCGGAAUCUACUUUUUCGUGGGGGAUAACGUAGGGAAACUUACGCUAAUACCGCAUACGACCUACGGGUGAAAGCAGGGGAUCUUCGGACCUUUCGCGAUUGAAUGAGCCGAUGUCGGAUUAGCUAGUUGGCGGGGUAAAGGCCCACCAAGGCGACGAUCCGUAGCUGGUCUGAGAGGAUGAUCAGCCACACUGGAACUGAGACACGGUCCAGACUCCUACGGGAGGCAGCAGUGGGGAAUAUUGGACAAUGGGCGCAAGCCUGAUCCAGCCAUACCGCGUGGGUGAAGAAGGCCUUCGGGUUGUAAAGCCCUUUUGUUGGGAAAGAAAAGCAGCAGGUUAAUACCCCGCUGUUCUGACGGUACCCAAAGAAUAAGCACCGGCUAACUUCGUG
rnacentral:rRNA from 1 species